ensembl:snRNA U6 U6 spliceosomal RNA
AUGCUCACUUCCGCAGCACCUAUACUGGAACGAUACAGAGAAGAUUAGCAUAGCCCCUGAACAAGAAUGACACACACACACUUGUGAAUAUUCUAUAUUUUU